CUCACACUACUACAGAGUUAUUGUGUGGAUUUUACUUGUGGAAUCAGAUGGAGAUUAUAUUCAGCUGCAGUUUGCUGGUCCGGUGGUGAAGCCCUCCAUGUCUCUGCUCCGUCCUUCUUCUCUGCAGCUCUCUGAUGGAACAGCCUCGCUGCUCUGCCUGCUCUCUGCCUAUUCUCCACAGGGGGCGCUGCCGAGCUGGACCGUGGACGGUGCCGAGGUGAACGAGGGGGUUCUGACCAGCACAGAAGAACAGAAGGACGGCAUCUACAGCCGCAGCAGCACCCUGACCCUCAGUAAAGAGCGCUGGGAAGAGGCCGAGGUGUUCGGCUGUACCGUCUCCCACCACGACACCACUCAGGUCGCCUCGUUCAGAAAGAGCCGCUGUGAAAUCCACUAGAAUUCAAGUGUACACUUUAAACCAUGCUUAGUAGUCUGAGGUGAUGUCAGUGUGUAGCUCUGCUGAAAUAAAGCUUCUAUGUAGAAA